CCCACUGAAAACGCUGUGUCCAGAUGAACAGAGUCAACUUUUUGGGGGCAUAAGAUACAAUGUAACAUUGGUUCCUUGCUACAUUGUCUGUUAUGUGUAGACACAACACAGGUUCAUCCCUUGAGUUAGGUGUCUUUUUGGUGCCUUUUUUUAAAAUUCCAAGGUCAUUGUUAACAAAAACAAAUAUUUCUCUUAAAAUGUUGAACUACAAGGACUGGACUGGAAAACGAGUGAAAACACAGUCAAUAUUUAAAGAAAGACUUUGAAAGACCGGCAGAAACCCUGGAGAACUAUUGCUCAAGACCAGUUAAAAAAUAUAUGAAAGUCUGGCUCCUUAGAAAGAAAAUCUAAAGAAGUACAAUAGUGCUUAUUAUUUUUAGGUUUGUGGGAGAUGUAUCAUGGAAGGAAAGGAGAAAUAUGCUGCAGGCAAACUCAGUGCCUGUCCAUUCAAGUUAAUGAUGAAUGAGUCUCUACCUCUACCUGCAGAAUGUCUAAAGCAGAGUGAAACAACACUAGUGCAAGUCCCUGCAGAUUGCCACUCCAAAGUGUUGGAGUUUUCUACCCCGAUUCUUCUUCCUUCCAGUUUCAAGGAUCAAAUGAUUUGAAUGUAUGUUAACCAGACAGGUUAAGUCAACUUAACAACUUUAUUCACAUGCAGGAUUCUCAUGAACUCAACUUCUCAGCGUAAAAUAUGACACUUCAAGGGAAGUAAAAAAAAUCCCCUUGCUUCUUUUGAGGUAUUACAUUGUAUGUACUGUAAUAAAAGUAAGUCGCAGGGAUCGUUAGAUUAUGUGGCCCCUGUGUCUGAAACAGUACUGGGGUUGUACUACAGUACUGCAUUUCCCCUUUUCAGUGAAGCCAAGGAGUAAACCUGCAUGCUGUUGUGUUUAGCCCAAACCAUUAAACUCUACAAAAUCAACUAUCUUUGCUAAGCAGUGCACUAUCUGCACAGGCGCUGAUGAAACAGGAGACUAACAAACCACAUUGAGCUGGCCUUUAUCACUGAGAAAGAGUCAUUUAACAGGGUCAAAAACAACAGAUGGAUUAGGAGCAAAGGACUUAUGACAGGCUGAGGCACAGCUCUUCGUCUCAGUCGCUGAUUUAUAAGUGCCGGAGAGCAGAGAUUCCUAAGCAGGCUGGUGACUGUUUGUGACUCCUACAGAGCGCAGUGAAGCUCAACACUGAAGCAGUGAGUGAGCAGAUCGGCCCCCGAGGCGAAGGAAAACUGUCCAAAUGGACUCCAACGGUGCCGGCAGCGUGCAGUACGACCGCUGGAAUGAGGACAACAUCAACAUGAAUGUAGAGGCUUCACAGUCCUCACUGCAGAUGAUCUGCAACAGCAUGUGUGUCGGCAGCACUGGAAUAGUAGUAAAAGCAGCAGGAGCCGCAGCUGCACUGGUGGCUGUUUACAUCAUAGGAUAUAUGACGGGGUACUACAUCCAUCGAUGCCCGUAGGGGAACCAGGAGGUCAGGAAAGAAAAGAGAUUUAAAACACACCAAAAAAGCAUAAGCUUCAUAUGCAGAAUGAGCUGUGACUGAAUCGGAUUUAUUGUGAUCAGAAAAUAUACAAAUUCAUGGUUCAUACUGAUAUUACUGCACAUGAAAAUGAAGUUAUAUCAUUAUAUGAUGUUAUAUGAAAUGUAAAAUAUUAAUUCAUAUCCUUCUUCAUAAUGAUACUGGGAUAAAUUGUACUUGUUUCCUGCUUCGGAGAUUCUGUCAUAAUUAUCAGAUUUUCCCUUCACUGUCAAAAAAUAUCAGGCUGUGUUUUUUUGUCCAAACUGAUAACUAGAGAUAAAAUCCUUCGGGCAGGAGAUACCUUUGGAUCUACUGACUGGUAUUUCUGUGGGCUGUAGGAGUCUUAGAUCACCUUUAGACUGAGGGUGAGGAACGGUUUAGACAAACAUUUGUGAGACAUUUGAAGGUCAGCGACUGUGGGGGGGACUUUUCCUGAAUCUGGAGCAACUUAGAAGUUAAUGGAUGACUGAGUAAGUUUAAUGUUUCCUACUGCUGGUCGUUCAGUAACACUCAAACUCAUCCAGACCUUCUGCGUUUGUUCGAUUUCUUCCCAAUUGUUCUGAACAUCUGCAGCUUCAACAGUUUUGGCUCUCGACUUCCUUUAAUACAUUUGUAUUUAACACAUCUACUCCACACACAUACUCCAGUACAUCACUAAGCAGUAAAGACAAAAGUGAUGUUUAAAAAGGUACUUUUUUAUUUUUAUGCUAAAAAGUGAUACAUUUUUAAACCUCAACUCAAUCUAAGUUAUCUCUGUUUUUCAUGAAACACAACCUCAGUGUUUUCUUAAUGAACUGAACUUUAGAGAGCCUGUCGUGUUUUGUGGUAUCAGAUCGUUUUAAUAUUUUAAAUCUAUUAAGUGUUUCUUGGUUUCAUAUGACACAGUCCUGCAAACGAUACAAAUUAAGUUUAAGCUUUAUGUAAGUUUAUUAAGAGUUAAACUGACAUGAAAGUUAAUGCCUAUGAAUCAUAGUGCAAACAAUACCAACCAUUUACAUUUAAAAGCACUGUAAAUGUGUUAAUGUGGUAUUCUAGCCAUUGUUAUGGAGACCAUAAGUGAUCUGCUGUCAGACAGGAAAACGCAUCUUCUUGUGCCAGAACUACUUUGUACAACACUUCAUGUAGCUAAUCGGUCUCUGUGGUAUUUAGACCUCCUGUGCAUCAUUUCCCAAAUGGCAGAUUGUCUUUGUACAGCCGAGCUGUCGGCUUUCAAACUGUUUUUCCCAUUUUCCUUAUGUUAGUUUAUUUCUCGCACAUUAUUGGUUCCUGUUAGAUUUCCUCCUGUAGCACUUGGUUUGUUUUGCCCCCUGGUGGAAUUAACCACCUGUUUGUAUGACUUCAACUUGUUAAAAGAUUCAGAUUUCAGAUGUUA